rnacentral:tRNA from 1 species
GGGCCCGUAGCUCAGUGGUAGAUCGCCCGCUUGGCAUGCGGGAGGCCUCGGGUUCAAAUCCCGACGGGUCCA